CCUACGGGGGGCAGCAGUAGGGAAUAUUGCUCAAUGGGGGAAACCCUGAAGCAGCAACGCCGCGUGAAGGAUGAAGGUUUUAGGAUUGUAAACUCCUUUUGUUAGAGAAGAUUAUGACGGUAUCUAACGAAUAAGCACCGGCUAACUCCGUGCCAGCAGCCGCGGUAAUACGGAGGGUGCAAGCGUUACUCGGAAUCACUGGUCGUAAAGAGUGCGUAGGCGGGGUAAUAAGUCAGAUGUGAAAUCCUGUAGCUUAACUACAGAACUGCAUUUGAAACUGUUACUCUGGAGUGUGGGAGAGGUAGGUGGAAUUCUUGGUGUAGGGGUAAAAUGCGUAGAGAUCAAGAGGAAUACUCAUUGCGAAGGCGACCUGCUGGAACAUUACUGACGCUGAUGCACGAAAGCGUGGGGAGCAAACAGGAUUAGAUACCCUUGUAGUC
rnacentral:rRNA from 1 species